UGUAAUCAGACGUCCUGCCAGACUUGGGCCUUGAGUGAAUGAUUCACAGGUUUUCUUCUUUCAGAGUCUCACGACAUUUCAGAAUUGCAGCUGGAAGGAUGGCUCAUGUUGGAACCUGGCAGGUGCUGCCCUGUGUGCCACAGCAACCAACUGGUCUGGAAAGGACCAUUCCUGGAACACAUGGGAUGGAGGACAAGAGAGAAGAGAUUUCAGUGUUCCUGUAUUUCCAGUCUAGCAGGAAAGAAGACAGCUAGGUGCAGUGGCCUGUAUACUAAGUGAUGUGCGGCACUAUGAAGAUGCACUGUGGGUUCCCGGGAGGGAGGAAUAACCUGCCAGUUACACACUGGGCUGGGGGUAAACAUCUAUCCCAAGAUGUAUACAGAACUACAAACAGUAAACGCUUCAACCCCAAAAGCUGAAGAACGAUGGACGGGGAUGAGACUCACACUUCAUCUACAGGAUUGUCAGCGCAUACAGUGAAAACAGGAAGAGAAGGAGGAAAGAAGGGGACCUCUGGCAGCUGACGCAUAGGGGAGGAGCUGAGCUCAGUUCUGAGUGGCAGAUAGAGGUGGGAAGGGCGGGAACUCCGGGAGCAGGAGGUC
rnacentral:lncRNA from 1 species